rnacentral:misc_RNA from 1 species
UAUGAUGUUAUUCUUAGGUACAUUAUUUGCAUUUCUAAAAGCCGGAUGCUUACAAGCAUUGAAAUAAAAGGCAGCAACAGUAAUGAAAACAAAUAAAUCCUUUCAUUUCAGCUUCAACCCCUAAAGAUGCCAAAUAAUGUACCUAAGAAUAACAUCAUAUUACAUGCAUGCCUGACUGCAAAUCAUCUAAAGUUUUAAAAGAUGAUUGUUGUCAAAGCCUACAAGGCAACUUAGUUGAGAAUCUUCACAGGAGAAAAUAUUUCUCAACCCAAUAGGCAAUGACAGCAGGACACUGACUGGGUGGGAAAUAAUCUAUAAAUAUAGAUGAAGUUAUUACCAUGAUUUAAAGGAUUUUACACCAAAAUCUUGUAUGUGCAGGAAAAUCAGCUCCUUGUUACAAUUGCCUUCACCUGGGACACUUGCUAAAUCUUGGAAACAAAUCCUCAAUGCCGGAAAGUCUUCACUACCUGCUCUAUCCGUCUCCGGCAUAGAGGACAGUUUGUCAGAUGUGAAGAGCAUGUCGUACAACAGCACAUAUGGCCACACGGGAGAAAAACGGCAUUAUACUCCUGCUCAAGGCAUAUUACACAUAGAUCUGGAAUUGGACGUUCCCUCUUAGAAUUGUCUGAUCCAUUCUCAGCUUUUCCAUUUGAACCUUCAGAAUCUUGAUCUUGUCUCUUAGCAGCAGCAGCAAGAACCCUGCUCUGCAGUUCCCAACGGCGCCUUCUCUCCAUGAUAUACUGUAUAGCAUGCUUGGCAAUCAGAAAAACGCCAAAAACUGUCAAGCCGACUGAGGCAUAUCUAUACCACCUUGCCCACUUUCCCAAAUUCCCAAUGAGCUCAUCAAUAGUCCUAGGAGAUACGUAAAAUGGCCCUUUGUGGGGACGCUGGACCCGAACAGUUCCAACAUCAUCCUUGACGGCCUCACCAACCACAGUCAAUGAAGUACCAGUUGGAAGUACCCUUUCGAUACGCUUCACACCAAGCAUCUUGAGGCCUUGGAGAUAGUCUAAUGUUCCACGUACAAGUGAUCGUCCUGACUCUUCAAAAAUUUCACUUCCAACAGUUAACACAAACCCAGAGGCACCUCGGGCCCCCACAACAUAUACUCGAUCAGUCCCGUCAUCCAGGUACCAUGGGACUUCUUUACUCAUUGAUAGCAUUAAGGCUGAAUCUUGAAUCCAAGAUCCAGAAUCGUUGUGCUUGAGGAAGUGUUGUUCAGCCGUCUCCUCUACUAUAACACCUCUCAAGCCACUAUACUCGCAAUUAAUUGGAGUCUCUGAGCCAACUCUUCCAGAGAUAGCAACAACCAAAGGUAAGACUUUGCUUUCAAUAUCAAGUAAUUUUGCCAAUUCCUUCAGCUGAUUGACUCUUGCGACCGAUUUAAGACCCUCUGCACCCCUGCCACUGCUCCUGCCAAGCAAAUAGAGCGCAGCAGCACUCAAACAGCAACUAAUUCCACCCCAUGGAAGCAUCUUCAACGAUCAGCUUAACAGAAACAAAAACCCUAAGCGGCCUCAAACCGUCUGAAUUUAAAUUAUUGUCAUNNNNNNNAUAAACAAAAGAAGAAAAAUAAAAUCCAAUCGAUUGAGAAAUACGAUGGCAAACAACCAAGAGAAGCGAAACGAGUGAAUUCAAUGAGAGGGAACAAAAAUUAGCGAAGCAAAUGCAAAAUGGAGGGAAAAUU